AUAACCCAUUAAAAAGGGUGCUUGGAACCAAAAAUAGAUUUUUGUUUUGUAUGAUACCCAUCAUGACGAGACUGGCGAGGCCACCUCCAACGAGAUGAUGGACAUCUUCUACACCCAUGGUUCUCUUGUGGUCAUCUUGAGUGACCGAGGUCAUGAACGCUGGAACAAGAUAUCACUUUCCUAACCCCUCCUCCACAUUUGGACUAACCAGACCCUUGAUUGGUACCAGGAAGGGUGGGAAACCAACCUGAAGGUAAUUCUCUUUGCACACAAUAACAGCAUCCAGGCCUCCACUGAGUACGGACGUGAGCCGCAGCUGUUGACUGAGAUCACUGAAACCCCAACUGAUGUGGUGGAAGUUGUCUAACCAGAUCAGAACACUUUCGAGGAUCACCUUCAGGCACGGACUGAGAAGGAUGUGGAGGUUUUUGACCAGGAUCUUUGCUGUAACGUGACACUUCCUACGGCUCCCAUAGGCUCUCAGAACCUGGGAAAAAGCUGAAUGAUGUCGAGGCAGCCCCUGGCUGAAAAACAUUAGCGCCUUUGGUAAGUGGUCUAUCAGAGGACAAUGAGACUGAGGCGCGUGCACGAGGCGACCCCAUGUUUUUAUUUUCUCUCUCUUUGUACUAAAACACGGUUUCCCGGUCGGAAUAUUAUCGCUUUUUUACGAGAAAAAUUGCAUAAAAAUUGAUUUUAAACAGCGGUUGACAUGCUUCGAAGUACGGUAAUGGAAUAUUUAGAUUUUUUUGGGUCACGAAACGCGUCGGGCACUCUAAAC
rnacentral:lncRNA from 1 species